GUAGGGUGCAAGCGUUAAUCGGAAUUACUGGGCGUAAAGCGUGCGCAGGCGGUUAUGUAAGACAGAUGUGAAAUGCCCGGGCUUAACCUGGGAACUGCAUUUGUGACUGCAUGGCUAGAGUGUGUCAGAGGGGGGUAGAAUUCCACGUGUAGCAGUGAAAUGCGUAGAUAUGUGGAGGAAUACCGAUGGCGAAGGCAGCCCCCUGGGAUAACACUGACGCUCAUGCACGGAAGCGUGGGGAGCAAACAGGAUUAGAUACCCUGGUAGUCCACGCCCUAAACGAUGUCAACUAGUUGUCGGGUCUUAAUUGACUUGGUAACGCAGCUAACGCGUGAAGUUGACCGCCUGGGGAGUACGGUCGCAAGAUUA
rnacentral:rRNA from 1 species